rnacentral:rRNA from 1 species
UAGGGAAGUAUUGCUCAAUGGGGGGAAACCCGUGAAGCAGCAACGCCGCGUGGAGGAUGAAGGUUUUCGGAUUGUAAACUCCUUUUGUUAGAGAAGAUAAUGACGGUAUCUAACGAAUAAGCACCGGCUAACUCCGUGCC